rnacentral:sRNA from 1 species
UACGCCCGAUAUUCACACACUGGCGGCACAGGCGCCAUCAUCUGGAAGGUCCACGGAGAACGGGAGAUCGGGAAAGAGAGGACAACCUGACGGGAUAGUUCCAAAAGGCCAGCUGGCAAGGAAGCCGAAUGUAUUAGGGACAAGAGGCGACCACAGAGCAAAACUGGAAGGUGUCCAGGCUGUCCUGCACACCAAGCUGGAGGAUGAAGAGGAAUCAGAAAUGAGCAGAAUCCUAAUUUGGCUAGUGACAAGUCCUGUCAUUUGGGGAGGUUAAUUUACUGCAAUAUGUGAAUGGCCUCCUGAUCACAGUGCAGAAAUGGACAUCUGCAAACUGGCUACUGAAGGGCUCCUAAAUGUUCUCCAACAGAUGGAUACCGGGUGUCUGCCAAGAAGGCACAACUCUGAAAAAGGAAUGCUGUGUCCCUAGUAUUUGACCUCCAUGAAGCCCAAUGUGAAAAAGAUCUCUAAAGAAGACCUUGGAGUCAUUCAAAGGCUCACCAACAUCUCUGCCAUGAAAGGAUGUCACUUCAUCAUUGACAGGAAAUGACUCUUUCCACAGAUGCUGG